UGUGUAACCUUCUCCAAAGGGCAGUGUGGAGAUGGAAAUCAGAUUAGUGGCAGUGGGGGCUGGGGAGAGUGGAGGCAGGACAGCGACUGUAGAGGGGGAUCCCAAGGGACAGCUUUACAUAGGCAUUAGGGGAAGCUAGGUGACAGGGACACAGGACACCUGUACUAGCUUUUAACAUCCUGUGAAUUGAUAUGUAUGGACUGAAUGUGCCGGCCCCAAAUCCUAUGUUGAAGCCGUAACCCCCAAAAUGAUGAGGCCUUUGGGACAUAAUGAGGCAGAGAUGACAUAAUCAGGGUGGGGUCACCACAGUGGACGAGUGCCCUUAUAAAAAGACGAAGAGAGAGCUAUCCCCCCACCUCCAAGUGCAUGCACCAGAGGAAGGCCAUGUGAGGACACAGCAAGAAGGCGGCCACCUACACGCCAAAAAGAGGGUCCUCGCCAGAAAGUGCCCACACAGGCACCUUGAUCUUGGACUUCCAGACUCCAGAACUGUGAAAAAUAAAUGUCUGUUGUUUAAGACACCACUCAGUCCGUGUCAUUUUGUUAUAGCAGCCCAAGAAGACUAAGACGCUGUGAUUGUUUCAAAAUAAAAAGUUUAAGAACAAAAUACAGUGUAAGGGUUAAUGCCAGCAAAUACCAAAACCAAAAUCAUGUGCACUUUCAAUAGCGGGAAAAAGAUUUGCUAGAAGAAUAGAAAAUAAAUCUGGCUGAACAGAGCAGAAACCAAGACAAGCAAGAAUAAAAAGUGGGAGAGAGUGGGACUCGUUGGCGAAAGAGGUCUUAAAUCCACGUGGAGGAGACCGGGCUUAUCCUUUCCCGUAGGUGUUGGUAAAAAUUCCAUCUCCUUGCCCCACAAGGAAGGUAGUCCUCUGCCAUGUUCUAGAAGGAAGGCUGAUAAAAAUUAGUCUCCUCAUGCAAUUUGCUCACAAGAACAUGGCUUCUAGUUUCAUCUCUCCUCCUGGUUUGCUCUAUAACUUUGGUCCCACUGGCCCCCUCAUCCUUGAGUUCCGUUUUCUGCAAAAAUCAAAGGUAGCAUCAUUUCUGAGAAACUUCCUGUAGAGAAUUAUAAUGUAAAACCCAGAAGUAAUGAGUCCUCUAAAAAAAAAAAAAAAAAAGGAAUCUGUUACAGCAGCUGCAUCAAUAUCACUCUCUGUUCCCUUUAGUCCUCACAGCACAUAGAUGCAGGUAGUGCACUGAACAACUGUGCACAAGAGGCUGUGCUGCAUCAUGAAUUGCAACUGGGACACCGCUGUUCAGUUGAGUCUUGAAAAGAAACACCCCUUUCUCCCUCAUGUAUUCAUCCAGGAUGUCCCGUCCAUUUGUUUGGAAACGGGCGGAAAACGAAAGAUCCCAAACAGAAGCACCUCUCCCUUCUGUAGAAAGAUAUAUCUGUGCAGGGAAUGAAGAGGGGAGAAGACCCCUCUCCAGGGACAGGGGCUAAGCGCUGGUGGCCCUCCUCAGCCGCCCAGCACGGCUCCCCAGCCCAGACAGUCGA